UUUUCUUUCAUGUUUUUGCCUCUUGCAAGCUUCCCCUAUUUAAGCUCAAAAGGGUAUGACUCUUGUACCAUUCCAAGCCCAUUACAACACAACCCCAAUAAUUCCCACUUUACUUCCUCACACUUGUGUCUUGUUGCACAGCACUGUCUGCUUCACCUGGCGUGACAUCGCCCUCCCCUUGAGAUGCAGCUUAUCCCCAGUUGCUGCUACAAAAUUUUUUGGGCAGUGCACAAUAAUGCCCUAUUCCCAAAUAGCCAUGAGAGCUCUACCUCAGCCGGAUCUGUAGUGGAAAAAUUACCUCUCUUCCCAAAUAGCCAUGAGAGCUCUACCUCAGCCGGAUCUGUAGUGGAAAAAUUACCUCUCUUUACCAAACAAUGGUUCAGCAUAACCAUUUAGCUUGUCCGUAAGUCAGGGGAUGGUAUGCUGAACUAAGCUGUAAUUUAGUGUCCAGACUAGUUAGUGUUUUGUCUUGAUCUUAGACCAAGGCUCAUUUAGCUAUAUAUAUUAACAUAUUGUUAGGUGAGAUUAUGGAGUAUAAAGAAAUGCAAGGACCAAAAAUAAACUUAGCUAGAAUUUACCUGUGUUCACUAAGUUGGUGGACAUAGAAAAGAAAACAAUUGGUGCUUCUUAUAUCAAUAUAUAGGUAGACAAGUGCAU
rnacentral:lncRNA from 1 species